GCCGGGCGCGGUGGCGCGUGCCUGUGGUCCCAGCUACUCAGGAGGCUGAGGUGGGAGGAUCGCUCGAGCCCAGGAGUUCUGGGCUGUAGUGCGCUAUGCCGAUCAGGUGUCUGCACUAAGUUCGGCAUCACUAUGGUGGCCUCCCAGGAGCGGGGGACCACCAGGUUGCCUAAGGAGGGGUGAACCGGCCCAGGUGGGAAAAGGAGCAGGUCAAAAUUCCUGUGCUGAUCAGUAGUGGGAUCGCGCCUAUGAACAGCCACUGCACUCCAGCCUGGGCAACAGAGUGAGACCCCAUCUCU
rnacentral:SRP_RNA from 1 species